rnacentral:misc_RNA from 1 species
CAGAGUUCAUGCCCUUACGGGUAGAUCUCCCACCCUUGAAUACUAUACCUUUGUUGCUUUGGCGAGCCGCCUCGGCUACCGGCUUCGGUUGGUAUGUGCCCGCCAGAGGACCCCAAACUCUGAAUGUUAAUAUCGUCUGAGUACUAUAUAAUAGUUA